UGCCCGGCUUUCCGGAAGUGCCCGGCUGGCUGACGGAGAAGGGGUUUGCCUGAACGCGGCAAGGAGAGGGUUGUGGUUCUGGAGCUUGGGUGACGGCUGGAGGAGCGACUCGGGGUUGAGGUGGGCUUCAGGAGAGAGCUGGGCGGCGGGAUGAUGGAAGAGGAGGAACUGGAGUUCGUAGAGGAGCUGGAAGCCGUGCUGCAGCUCACGCCUGACGUGCAGCUCGCCAUCGAGCAGGUGUUUCCAAGCCAGGAUCCUCUAGAUCGAGCAGAUUUCAAUGCUGUGGAGUAUAUCAAUACUCUGUUCCCAACAGAACAAUCUCUGGCAAACAUAGAUGAAGUCGUGAACAAAAUUAGACUGAAAAUAAGGAGACUGGAUGACAAUAUUCGAACUGUUGUAAGAGGUCAAACAAAUGUGGGGCAGGAUGGCAGGCAAGCACUUGAAGAGGCCCAGAAAGCUAUUCAGCAACUCUUCGGCAAAAUCAAAGAUAUCAAAGACAAAGCAGAAAAAUCAGAGCAAAUGGUUAAAGAAAUCACCCGCGAUAUUAAGCAGCUAGAUCAUGCCAAACGCCACCUGACCACCUCAAUCACAACGCUGAACCACCUGCACAUGUUAGCAGGUGGCGUGGAUUCCCUCGAAGCCAUGACCAGGCGAAGACAGUAUGGAGAAGUUGCUAACCUUCUUCAGGGUGUGAUGAAUGUUCUGGAGCACUUCCACAAGUAUAUGGGAAUUCCGCAGAUCCGGCAGCUUUCUGAAAGAGUGAAAGCUGCCCAGACUGAGUUAGGACAGCAAAUCCUCGCUGAUUUUGAAGAAGCAUUUCCUUCCCAGGGCACCAAGAGGCCAGGAGGACCCAGCAAUGUCCUACGAGAUGCGUGUCUGGUUGCUAAUAUUUUGGAUCCCAGAAUCAAACAGGAAAUCAUCAAAAAGUUUAUUAAACAGCAUCUGUCAGAAUAUCUAGUACUUUUUCAAGAAAACCAAGAUGUUGCCUGGCUGGACAAAAUCGACAGACGCUAUGCCUGGAUAAAACGCCAGCUUGUGGACUAUGAGGAGAAAUAUGGUCGUAUGUUUCCACGUGAGUGGUACAUGACCGAGAGGAUUGCAGUAGAAUUUUGCCAUGUCACAAGGACAGAACUUGCCAAGAUUAUGCGUACCAGAGCUAAGGAAAUUGAAGUGAAAUUGCUUCUUUUUGCUAUUCAAAGAACGACUAACUUUGAAGGGUUUCUUGCCAAACGCUUCUCCGGGUGCACCCUGACAGAUGGAACUCUGCAGAAAAAACUUGAGUCUCCACCCCCAUCCACCAAUCCCUUCCUGGAAGAUGAGCCAGCACCAGAGAUGGAGGAACUGGCGAUGGAGAAAGGAGAUUUAGAUCAGCCAAAGAAGCCGAAAGCCCCAGACAAUCCAUUUCAUGGCAUUGUUUCCAAGUGUUUCGAGCCUCAUCUCUACGUGUAUAUUGAGUCCCAGGACAAAAACCUUGGAGAGCUGAUUGACCGGUUUGUGGCCGAUUUCAAAGCCCAGGGGCCACCUAAGCCCAACACUGACGAAGGGGGUGCCGUGCUCCCCAGCUGUGCUGACCUCUUUGUCUACUACAAGAAGUGCAUGGUGCAGUGCUCUCAGCUCAGUACUGGGGAGCCAAUGAUCGCCCUGACCACCAUUUUCCAGAAGUACCUCCGAGAAUAUGCCUGGAAAAUCCUCUCUGGCAAUCUACCCAAAACCACAAGCAGCAGUGGAGGCCUGACCAUCAGCAGCCUCCUCAAGGAAAAGGAAGGCUCAGAAGUAGCCAAGUUCACUCUAGAGGAGCUCUGCCUCAUCUGCAGCAUCCUAAGCACAGCAGAGUACUGUCUGGCCACCACCCAGCAGCUAGAAGAAAAACUCAAGGAAAAAGUUGAUGUAAGUCUGAUUGAACGAAUCAAUCUGACUGGAGAAAUGGAUACGUUCAGCACUGUCAUCUCUAGCAGCAUCCAGUUGUUGGUUCAAGAUCUGGAUGCUGCCUGUGAUCCUGCCCUGACUGCCAUGAGCAAGAUGCAGUGGCAGAAUGUGGAGCACGUUGGUGACCAGAGCCCUUAUGUCACCUCUGUCAUUCUUCACAUUAAGCAGAAUGUCCCUAUUAUCCGUGACAACCUGGCUUCCACACGGAAAUAUUUCACUCAGUUCUGCAUUAAAUUUGCAAACUCCUUCAUUCCCAAGUUCAUCACCCACCUCUUCAAGUGCAAGCCAAUUAGCAUGGUGGGAGCAGAACAGCUGUUGCUGGACACCCAUUCCUUGAAGAUGGUCCUGCUCGAUCUACCUUCCAUUGGCUCACAGGUGGUGAGGAAAGCACCUGCCAGUUACACUAAGAUUGUUGUGAAAGGCAUGACUCGGGCGGAAAUGAUACUCAAGAAUGGCUCAAAUGAUGGCAGGAGUGAAAAGUAGCUAUGGGACCUGAGACAUGCACGGGACCAGGUGAGGGUCCGGCCUGAGGAACUCGGAAGCAGCCUAAUCCGAUUCUCCCCACAGCUGUCUUCCUCACCGGGGAGGAGAGCAUGCAGCUUGGGAACUGUCUGCAGGGAAUUUCUGAGUGAACUACUCCUUCCUUGCCCCUCUGUGGUCCAUUCUCAGGAGUUCAAAACAAAACCAGUCUACUGCAGGAAGAAAAUCAGACACUGCAUUCCAAAACCAAGUAGGAAUGAAUUUGAGGAUCGCAAUGCCAUUUGUAGUGAUGGCCCCUCACGAACCAUUGGU